rnacentral:rRNA from 1 species
UACGGAGGGGGCUAGCGUUGUUCGGAAUUACUGGGCGUAAAGCGCACGUAGGCGGCUUUGUAAGUUAGAGGUGAAAGCCCGGGGCUCAACUCCGGAAUUGCCUUUAAGACUGCAUCGCUAGAAUUGUGGAGAGGUAAGUGGAAUUCCUGGUGUAGCGGUGAAAUGCGCAGAUAUCAGGAAGAACACCUAUGGCGAAGGCAGCUCUCUGGGACGGUACUGACGCUGAGACGCGAAAGCGUGGGGAGCGAACAGG